UUUUUUUUUUUUUUUUUUGUCUUUUUAGGGCGAAAACCAACACAUAUGGAGGUUCCCAGGCUAGGGGUUGAAUCGGAGCUGUAGCUGCUGGCCUAUGCCACAGCCAGCAAUGCGGGAUCCGAGCCAGGUCUAUGACCUAAACCACAGCUCAUGGCAAUGCCAGAUCCUUAACCCGCUGAUCGAGGCCUGGGAUUGAAGCUGCAACCUCAUGGUUCCUAGUCUGGUUUGCUAACCACUGAGCCAUGAAGGGAACUUCCUCAUUCAAAUCUUGAUUGCAUCCUUUUUACUUUGAGGUUUGUCUGUUUUGUUAACAUUUGAAAGGUUCAAGUUUUGGUUUGAUCAUCCCUAUACUUUUUCCAUUUCAUUAGUCUCUGCUGUCAUCUUUAUUAUUUCCUUUAUUCUAGCCUGGUUUUCCUUUCCCAGCAUCUUCCGUUAGACAAGGAACUCAUUUACUGUUUCUUGGUUUUUAAUAAAUACAUUGAAGCCUACAUUUUUCCUCUUGAUAUGACUUUAAUCAUGUCCCACAAAUUUUACAUGAAGUAUAAUCAUUGUCAUUUGCUUCUAAAUAUUUCAUAAGUUUCUAUUAGCGUGAAUUUCUUUUUAAUCUGUGUCAUUCAGGAUUUUUUUUUUUUUUUCUGUUCUCAAUACAUUUUAAAACUACUCCACUGUUGGAGUUCCCGUCGUGGCUCAGUGGUUAACGAAUCUGACUGGGAACCAUGAGGUUGUGGGUUCGAUCCCUGGCCUUUCUCAGUGGGUUAAGGAUCCGGUGUUGCCAUGAGCUGUGAUGUAGGUCACAGACGUGGCUCAGAUCCCACGUUGCUGUGGCUCUGAAGUAGGCUGGUGGGUCCAGAUCCGGCUCCGAUUAGACCCCUAUUCUGGGAACCUCCAUGUGCCGUGGGAGCAGCCCUAGAAAAGACAAAUAAAAAACAAACAAACAACCCCCCAAGAAAAAUUGUAAAAAAAAAUACUCCAUAGUUAAAUUCUAAUAUAAUUGGAUUGGUUGGAGAACACAGUCUGUGUGACAUGGAUUCUCUCCAAUUUGUCAUUACUGUCUUUGUCACCUAAUGCAUAGUCCAUUCUUACAACGUGCUUUGUGCCCCUGAAAAGAAUUAAUAUUCCAUGCUUAGUAAGAGCAGAUUUCCAGAUUUAUCUAUUGGAUCAAUCUUUUCAUUAUGUGGUUCAAAUAAUCGAUAUCCUUACUGUGCGACCUAUUUUUUUUCUGGGGAGGGUCACUAAACUCUGCUUUUGUGACUGGGUCAAUGUCACCUAGAAACUCUUUGAGUUUCUACUUUAUGUAUUUGAGACAGGAUGCUUAGCUGCAUAGAAGUUCAUUGUUGUUAGCUAUAUCUCUUUGAUGAAGUGUGUUCUCUUUUAUCCUUAUGUAUUGGCCUUCUUCAUUCCUCUUAUGGCUUUUUGCUUCAAAUUUUAUCCCAUGUUAGUAUUGCUGUAUUAGCUUUCUUUUACUUGUUGCUUGGCAUAUUUUUUCCCUUUAUUUCAAAUUUUCUCUGUCACUGGUAUGCAUCGUGUAGUUAGAUUUUUAAAAAUUCAAUCUGAUGAUCUGUUCUUUAAAAGAUGAGUUUGAGCUAUUAACUUUUUUUGGUGAUUACUUGUUUAUUAUGCCUACCAUCCUAUUUUAUAUUUUUCUUUCUUUCUUUUUUUUAAAUGGUGCCAUCAGUCCUUUAUUUUUUAUUUUAUAUUCAUUUAUUUAUUUUUGUCUUUUUGCCUUUUCUAGGGCUGCACCUGCAGCAUAUGGAGGUUCCCAGGCUAAGGGUCUAAGCAGAGCUGUAGCCGCCAGCCUGCACGAGAGCCACACAGCAACACCAGAUCUGAGCCACGUCUGCAACCUACACCAGAGCUCAUGGCAACACCGGAUCAUUAACCGCUGAAUGAGGCUAGGGAUCGAACCCACAACCUCAUGGUUUCUAGUUGGAUUCGUUAACCACUGAGCCAUGACGGAAAAUGCCAUGUUUUAUAUUUUUCUUUAUGUCUAUUUUACUUUUAAGCAAUUAUUGGAUUGACAAAGUUUUCUUUUUUCCUUCUCCUCUUGACCUGGAAACUGUAAAUUCUCUUUUAGCAAUGAUCUUUAUAUAUUUUAGCAUUUCUCUUUUGCUAUUAAUUUUUCUAACAAAGUCAGUUGUUGAUUAUCUCUAUGCUCCUUGAGAUAAGACCUUAGCAUUCUUUACCCACGGAACCUCUAAAUCUUUUGAUCUAGAUGUUAUUAAUAUUCAGUAAUUAUGCUGUAGUUAAACAGCAUUAUUUAGCAAUUAGUUAAAUUGGUGAACAUAUUUUACCAAUUUUCAUGUUCACCUUUGUUUCUUUCUUUGGUCACAGCAUGCAGCAGGUUGAUGUGGGAUCUCAGUUCCCAGACCAGAAAUUAAAUCCAGGCCUCAGAGGUUAAAGCAUUGGGUCCUAACCACUAGACCACCAGGGAACUCCCCAUCUUUGUUUCUUGCAUGACAUGCUUCACCUUUUAUUUCUCUUCUUGAAAAGAAGUACGGUGUUUGUUACUUUAUUUAUUUAUUUAUUUAUUUAUUUAUUUAUUUUUGUCUUUUUGUCUUUUGUUGUUGUUGUUGUUGCUGUUGCUAUUUCUUGGGCCGCUCCCGCGGCAUAUGGAGGUUCCCAGGUUAGGGGUCCAAUCGGAGCUGUAGCUGCCAGCCUACGCCAGAGCCACAGCAACACGGGAUCUGAGCCGCGUCUGCAACCUACACCACAGCUCAUGGCAACGCCGGAUCGUUAACCCACUGAGCAAGGGCAGGGACCGAACCUGCAACUUCAUGGUUCCUAGUCGGAUUCGUUAACCACUGCGCCACGACGGGAACUCCUGUUACUUUAUUCAGUUAGUUUCCUUGGGUGACAAACAUUUAGUCUUUUAUGUAUGAAAAUGUCUUGAUUUCAUUUUUGGUCUCUACUGAUAGUUUUUAGCUGGGGAUAUAAUUCUAGACUACCUCUUAUUUUUGCUCAGCUCUUUGAAGAUUUAACUCCAUUGCCUUCUGUUCUCUCUUGUGAUGAGAAGCCUGAAGUCUUUAUAUUGUUUCAUUUUUAUAGAUUAACUAUCUGCUUUUUUCCAUCUGAUAAUUUUUUAAAAAUAACUUUUUCUUUCUCCUUGAUGUUCUUUAGUUUCACAAUCAUAUAUUAUUAAAUAGGUCUAAAAUAUUUAUUCUAUUUAACCUUUGCUAUAUAUGAUCACUUUGAGGAGCCAUUUUUCUUUAAUUCUGAAAAAUCCUUAACCCAUAUUUCUUUGAAAAUUACUCUCUCACUAUCCCCUCUGUUUUCUACUGGAACUCCCAUUAGACACAUGUUUUAGCCAGAGUUUUUAAAAAAUAGCUCUUUAAUAUUUCUAUGUCUUUAUUUCUCUGAGUUGUGUCCUGAGUUAUUAUAACAGCACCAUCAUCCAAUGUAUUCAUUCUCUCUUAAACUUUAUCCUCUAGUAUUGAUCACUUCUACUGAAAAAAAUUUCAGCACCUAUCUAUUUUGUGUCCAGAACUUCUAACAGAUUCUUCUUCUUUUUAAAAUGCCUCUGGAGUUCCCGUCAUGGCACAGUGGAAAUGAAUCCAACUAGGAACCAUGAGGUUGCAGGUUAGAUCCCUGACCUUGCUCAGUAAGGAUUAAGGAUCCAGCAUGGCUGUGAGCUGUGGUGUAGGUCACAGAUGUGGCUUGGAUCUGGCAUUGCUGUGGCUCUGGUGUAGCCCUGCAUACAGCUCUGACUAGACCCCUAGCCUGGGAACCUUUAUAUGCCAUGGGUGUGGCCCUAAAAAAAGACAAAAGACAAAAAAAAAACAAACCCAAAAACCUCUGAUCUUGUUACAUUUCUGCUUUUCCUUGUUUCACAAUUCCUUAAAGCUAUGAUUCACGCUAUUUCUUCCUUUAGCCAUUGUGGGUCCUGAAUAAUCAGAACAAUGAUAUUCUGGUUGCUCUUUUAUUCUACUUUGAUCUGGGACAAAUUAGCCUCUUGUAUGUUUGUUUUACUGUCUUUCUUAGUGCUAGACUUCCUCAACUGUUUUGGAACAUUAGGUUUGUAGGAAUAUCUUGAAUGGGAAUCCUCUCCCCUCCUCCAAUGCCACAUUCAUCUUUUAUCUCUAACACAGUCACUGAGGUCCCCAUCCAAGAGCCUGGUCCCAUUUGGGUAGUUGAGGCUCCAGGUCUUUGAGGAAAUGCGGGAGGCUGCAGAUCAAAUGGUCUGGCUGGUUUGCCCAGGUCCUGGCUAGAAGGCUGCACCUCCGUACUCCCAUCUUCUUAAUCACAGUGCUUCCUACCAACCCCAACCCUGGGCUGGAGCACAUUGCAGCUUGUUCUUAACUCCUUUCUCUGGUAGGAAAACCCCAUGCCAGGCCAGUGAGUCUGGAUCAGAAUCCCUACCUCCUGUGCGGCAUUUUUAGUCUCUUAUACCCAAAAAGAUGUGGCUCCCAGCUGCCUCUGCCUGCCUCUUGGCCCCAGUCGCAGCAGAUCUGCAACUUACCCAGCUUUCCUCUUUGUUCUUUUCUGCCAUAUCUAGUCCAGAAAGAUAUUUAUCUUGCUUUUGAAUGUGGCUAUGGCUCUUUAGUUCUCACUAUUUCUAUUUUAUCUAUGAGUGCCAUGUGUUGGGAUCAGAAGGAGAUCUCACAGCAUGAACUUUGAGUGCCAUCUUGGUUUUCAGGCUCCUUUAGUGUUGAAAAAAAUGAAACCACUUUUAGUUUGUUGUUGUUGUUGUUUUUAACAAAAUGUUAUUACUUGCAACCUAAAAUUUCCUAACUGAUAGAAGCACCUAUCUUGUAAGAUUGUUUUGAAGGUUGCAUGAGAUUUUCCAAUAUAAACCCUCUACACAGUGUCCAACAUAGAGAAGAGCUCAAUAAAAAUUAGCUAUUACUUUUAUUGUUUUAUUGUCUGCCUUUCCCCCAAUGUUUCUGCUCACUCUGGGUUCAGCCCAACAGAGCUUGUCAGGAAGGAGGGUGUCUGCUGGGCCGUAUCCACCCUUGAUCAUAAGUAUACUCUUCCUCCAUCAAACAUAACUGGUUUUCAGAGUUCCCAUUGUGACUCAGCAGUUAACGAACCCAACUAGCAUCCAUGAGGACGCAGGUUCGAUCGCUGGCCUGGAUCAGUAGGUUAGGAUCUGGCAUUGCCCUGAGCUGUGGUGUAGGUCACAGAUGUGGCUCAGAUUCUGUGUUGCUGUGGCUGUGGUGUAGGCCAGCAGCUGUAGCUCCGAUUAGACCCCUAGCCUGGGAAGCUCCAUAUGCUGUGAGUGUGGCCCUAAAAGACAAAA
rnacentral:lncRNA from 1 species